rnacentral:misc_RNA from 1 species
GAUGAAGAACGCAGCGAAAUGCGAUAAGUAAUGUGAAUUGCAGAAUUCAGUGAAUCAUCGAAUCUUUGAACGCACAUUGCGCCCCUUGGUAUUCCGAGGCGCAUGCCUGUUCGAGCGUCAUUAUAACCCCUCAAGCUCAGCUUGGUGUUGGGGCCUGCUGCACUGGCAGCCCUUAAAAUCAGUGGCGGCGCCAUCUGGCUCUAAGCGUAGUAAUUCUUCUCGCUAUGGAGUCCUGGUGGAUGCUUGCCAUCAACCCCCAAUUUUUCUAUGGUUGACCUCGGAUCAGGUAGGGAUACCCGCUGAACUUAAGCAUAUCAAUAAGCGGAGGA